GCCUAAAGGAAUCGGCCUUUUGCUUGCCUCACGCACCGCCAUGCAAUGGACCCGAUGUUGAAGGGAGGUUGGCACAAUGAAGAUUAGUUAUUUUGCCUGUCACUGCACACUGCAGGAAUAGCUAGCUACAGCCUGAACAUACCACGGCCAGUGCGCUGCCUUGCAAGCCUUGCAAGCCCACUGAUUGCUUUGUCAGCCUUGGCAAAGUCUGUGAAUGUCGGCUGGAAAUUUGCUUGCAGAAGAUUUGAUAAUGAAGAAUGUAAAGG
rnacentral:lncRNA from 1 species